rnacentral:rRNA from 1 species
AGCGAACGCUGGCGGCAGGCUUAACACAUGCAAGUCGAACGCCCCGCAAGGGGAGUGGCAGACGGGUGAGUAACACGUGGGAACGUACCCCUUGGUUCGGAAUAACUUGGGGAAACUCAAGCUAAUACCGGAUAAGCCCUUAUGGGGGAAGGUUUACUGCCGAAGGAUCGGCCCGCGUCUGAUUAGCUAGUUGGUUAGGUAAUGGCUCACCAAGGCGACGAUCAGUAGCUGGUCUGAGAGGAUGAUCAGCCACACUGGGACUGAGACACGGCCCAGACUCCUACGGGAGGCAGCAGUGGGGAAUAUUGGACAAUGGAGGCAACCCUGAUCCAGCCAUGCCGCGUGAGUGAUGAAGGCCUUAGGGUUGUAAAGCUCUUUUACCCGGGACGAUAAUGACUGUACCGGGAGAAUAAGCCCCGGCUAACUUCGUGCCAGCAGCCGCCGUAA